rnacentral:rRNA from 1 species
UACGGAGGGGGCAAGCGUUGUUCGGAUUUACUGGGCGUAAAGCGUAUGUAGGCGGUUUGGUAAGUUACUUGUGAAAUCUCCGAGCUUAACUCGGAACGGCCAAGUAAUACUGCUUUGACUAGAGUGCAGAAGGGGCAAUUGGAAUUCUUGGUGUAGCGGUGAAAUGCGUAGAUAUCAAGAGGAACACCAGAGGCGAAGGCGAAUUGCUGGGCUGACACUGACGCUGAGAUACGAAAGCUAGGGGAGCAAACAGG